rnacentral:ncRNA from 1 species
UCCAGAUCUGACAUUUAGCCGCUUAUAUUUAAUGAUACAAUUAAAAUUAGGUAUUAUAAUAUUCUGGUUUUCGUGUUGUCAGGUCUCAGAGAAAAUGAAUAUUUUCGAAUUUUGCAGAACUGAAUCAAUGAGCUCGGAGACUUAGACAAUUUAAACUGUAAAUUGACAUUCCCGGUUAGUCUUUAAUAAAAUUGUUUAUUUGUCUGUCAAUUUUGACUAAAGAGUGAGUGGAAAGUCUUGUAAAUUCAUCACGUAGGCGCCUCGUGGAAUCAUACUUACUUCCUUCCAUGAUAAAACGUCAAAUCUUCAUCAUUUUUAGUAAUAAUGAACAGCCCGUGAAGAUCAGUAACUCGUGACAAGGCUACGUAUAGCAACGAUUGUGCGUGUCUUUUGUCGUAUUCGUACACUACUUCAGCAUACGUACUUCCUUGUGAUUUAUGAAUAGUCGUUACACAAGCACAGACUACAGGCAUAUGAGAACGCUUAACAGUUAACACAGACGGUUUUGCUUUGAUUCAAAUUUAUAGUAGAAGAUCUCCCAGAGAUUGAAACUGCUGUUCGUCUAAUGUUAUUUGCUGCCAUAUAACCAGUAACUUUUCUUCUAAUUUUGUUCCCUAUAUCAAGGCAAUGAGGAAAAUCGAGCCCUGAUAAAAUAGAAUGUAUUCUAUCUAUUCUGUAUACCUAGUACGAAUAUUAUGCAAUGGCCUAUAUUUGAUUAUGUUAUGAUAUUUAUGUAUUAUAUUUUCAUACAGCCACAUCAAAUGUUCUAAUGUUACAUAUUGCAAUUACAAGACACGAAUAAUGAACAUAUGACUGGGUGCCACUGAUUUUAAUAUAAUUAUAAUAUACUAAUAAUAAUUAUAUUGUGUAUUAAUUGAAAACAAUAAAUUUAGUUUUAUAGACUGAUCACACUGAUUGCGCGUUCGGAAGAUGGCCGCCACGAUUUUCAUCCGGGCCUAUGCUGUAUGUGUUAAUUCUUAUCAGUGUUAGGGGUCUGGUGAAACCGCCUGGAUCUGCCGUCAGUACAGAUCUUGGUGGUAGUAGCAAAUACUCGAGAGUGGCCCUCGGGGGCUACCAUGGAGAAGGGUUUCUUGUGAACAGCUGUUGUUCAAGAGUCAGUCGAUCCUAAGUCCGGGGAGAGAUCCUCGUACCACGGGCGAAGGCGUUUUCGAAUCUCCCUUGAGGCGAGAGGGAAUGCGGUUCGUAUUCCGGAACCUGACGCGGAACCGCUCCCUAGUGUUCGGGGCUCUUUUGUCUCGUCUGGGUAACCAGAAUGAACUCGAAGAAGCGGCCAGGGGAUCUGGGUAGAAUUCUCUUUUCUCUGUGAGCGUUGUACGUUCCUGGAAUCCUCUGGCUGGGCGAUAGGGACGCGAGCUCGAAGAGCACCGGUCGUUGCGGCGAUGUCCGUGUUCCCCAUUAGGACCUUGAAAAUUCUAGAGGGACACGCGGAGUCUUCGCGUCUGUUCGUACCGAUAUCCGCAGCAGGUCUCCGAGGUGAGCAGCCUCUAGCCGCAUAGAAUAAUGUAGGUAAGGGAAGUCGGCAAAACCGAUCCGUAACUUCGGGAUAAGGAUUGGCUCUGAGGAGCGUGGCUGCCGGGUUCGGGUCGUCGUAGAAGUGUAGGCGUUUUUGGCGACACCUCGGCCGUCGCCCGUGCGCCAGGUCUUCGGAACGGGAGCCUCGAGGCGGCCGCGGGCCCGUCGCCGUCCGCCGACCUUGGAACCACCGAGCUUCGGUCGCUGGCCACGUCACCUUGUAACGGUCGACUCAGAACUGGCACGGACCAUGACAAAAUAAACAGGUAUGACAGCAACUUUGUGAUACGCAUAAAAUGGCUGCCACUUUGCUCCUUAUCAGUACGUUUGUUAUCAUUCACAAUUUUAACUCAAAUUUAAUUUAAUUUAAAUUAUUUUUAUUGACAAAAAUUAACUAAUAAGUAUAUUAUUUAAUUAAACAAUAAAAAACCAUGACAAAAUAAACAUGUAAAAAACAUUUUGUGCAUAUUUGAUAAGUCAUGUGAUAAAUUCUCGACCAAUGAGAAGUGGAGCAUAACGUACGCCAUAUUUGCGCAGAAAAUCAUCAGAAUAAAAUAUUGCUGUCAUACCUGUUUAUUUUGUCAUGGCACGGACCAGGGGAAUCCGACUGUCUAAUUAAAACAAAGCAUCGCGAUGGCCCAGGACGGGUGUUAACGCGAUGUGAUUUCUGCCCAGUGCUCUGAACCUACAGUGCAACAGAGCGACUCCCACUUGCCUACCUUUUUAAAUUUUAAAUUUGAUGAAUUUACUCAAAAUUUGAAAUUUCAAUGCUUUUAAAAAAAACUGUUCCAGUGCAUUUUUAAUAUUUUUCAACUAAAUUGGCAGUAAAUUAUUAUAAAAUACAAUUAUAUUUAUUAUUUUAGAUUUAGAAUUUCAACAUGUCAAUAUUUCAACAAGAUUUAACAUGAUCCAUUUGUCUUGAGGAUACAAACAACAAAUGUUAUACAAAUGCUUGUAUGCAUAUAUUUUGUUUUAAAUGCUUACGCUCAAACGUAAGUAUAGAUAAAACUUAAUAGUUAUUAAUUGUUAAA